GAAAAAAUAUCAAGUCACAUACAUACGUUUUACUGGGAUUUAUAACAUUAAAUUGCAAAUAUCAUUUUAGAGCCAGGAGAGUUAAAAAUGUUAAAAACGUAAAAAAACAAAUAAAAAAAUCCACCUGGUUUCAAAUAACGCUGGUUAUUUUGCAACACUCUUCUAACAAAAACAAAGAGCCUUUUGGAGACAUGCUUCUGUAAAACGGAAAGCCGCCUAAGGCAACAGAACAAAACUACUCAUUGUUUUGACAUAAAACAUCAAAUAUGCCAAUGAGUGAAAAGGAUGGAUUUCCCAUCAUCCACCAAAAAAAAAAAAAAAAAAAAAGUUUCUUUUCAAAACCCUUUUCGUUCAGCGAUAUGAAACAAUCAGGAGUCUUUGCUUUUAGGAAAGAACCUUCCCAAAGCUGAGGGAUGAGGAAACGUUACAGAUCGCAUCAUGGCGAUGAGGGAAAGCUCUAAUGGCGUGGAUUCAGCAGCCAUCAUCCCAGAGAUAACCACAGCAUGUUUACCUGUAAUAAUCGUCAGCUUCUCCAAGAAUCUGAGCAGACAGAAUGUAUGCUACGAGUGUUUCAACCACCAAAUGUGCAGCUUUAGCUUGAAGUGACUUUUCAGGGCAAAAUGAAAAACCAUCAAGAAAAAAACAGCUGUAGGCAGAACUUAAACAGCUCUGAGUGUCCAGAUGACAGUCUAAAAAUGUUUUGACAGCUGCACUAGUGCAAUUCAGCUCGUGAGUGAUUAAGUGGAGAAAAGUGAGACGUUCUGCUCCUUCCAUUUAUUGCCAAUGUGUAUCAUAAUCACAGCAAAGCUCAGAGAAAUCAGUGCUGAAUCUCGUGUGCAACUCAAAAACAACCCUGGUUGUAAUUAAAGUACAAACUACCCUCA